rnacentral:rRNA from 1 species
GACGAACGCUGGCGGCGUGCUUAACACAUGCAAGUCGAACGAAGUGGCGAAUGGGUGAGUAACGCGUAAUCAACCGUCCCUUUCGAGGGGGACAACAGUUGGAAACGACUGCUAAUACCGCAUACUGAAGGAGGGGAGUGUGUGUGAUUAGCUAGUUGGAGGGGUAACGGCCGAACAAGGCGAUGAUCAGUUGCCGGUCUGAGAGGAUGAACUGCACCAUUGGGACUUGGACACGGCCCAGACUCCUGCGGGAGGCAGCAGGGGGGAAUCUUCCGAAAUUGACGAAAGUCUGACGGAACAACGCCGCGUGAGUGAUGACGGGCUUCUGGUUGUAAAGCUCUGUUAAUCGGGGCGCGGUACCGGAAUAGAAAGCCACGGCUAACUACGUGCCAGCAGCCGCGGUAAUUC